GACGUAGGAGGCGAGCGUUAUCCGGAUUCACUGGGCGUAAAGCGCAUGUAGGCGGCUUGUUAAGUCGGGUGUGAAAGCCCUCAGCUCAACUGAGGAAGUGCGCCCGAAACUGGCGAGCUUGAGUGUCGGAGAGGAUGGCGGAAUACCCCAAGUAGAGGUGAAAUUCGUAGAUAUGGGGUGGAACACCGGUGGCGAAGGCGGCCAUCUGGACGACAACUGACGCUGAGACGCGAAAGCGUGGGGAGCAAACAGG
rnacentral:rRNA from 1 species